rnacentral:rRNA from 1 species
AACGAACGCUGGCGGCACGCCUAACACAUGCAAGUCGAACGAUGCCUUCGGGCAUAGUGGCGCAAGGGUGCGUAACGCGUGGGAAUCUGCCCUUGGCGUCGGAAUAACAGUUAGAAAUGACUGCUAAUACCGGAUGAUGUCCCCCUGAGAGAUCUUGGGGACCAAAGAUUUAUCGGCCAGGGAUGAGCCCGCGUAGGAUUAGGUAGUUGGUGGGGUAAAGGCCUACCAAGCCGACGAUCCUUAGCUGGUCUGAGAGGAUGAUCAGCCACACUGGGACUGAGACACGGCCCAGACUCCUACGGGAGGCAGCAGUGGGGAAUAUUGGACAAUGGGGGGAACCCUGAUCCAGCAAUGCCGCGUGAGUGAUGAAGGCCUUAGGGUUGUAAAGCUCUUUUACCAGGGAUGAUAAUGACAGUACCUGGAGAAUAAGCUCCGGCUAACUCCGUG